CUGCUUAUCCAGGUCUGGUGUCCUGUGAUGAGGUAACAUACUUAAGAUCUAUGCUGCCUGCUCACAACUUCAAGAACUGCCAGAGAAAAUUAUGAAAAACAUCUCCAGCCCAGGGACAAUGUAUGAAUAUCUUGGCCAUAGAAGAUGUAUAAUGUUUGGGAAGAGACAUUUCGCCAGAGAGAGAAAUAAAAAUCUCCCUUUGUUAGACUGGGAGAAAGAACUGGAAGUCUUCAGUUUGGCACAGCAGGAGUGUUUGCACCAGAAGAAGGGACAAUCAGUUCUGUAUGAAGGUAGAAAAGGCUAUGGAAAAAGCCAACUCUUGGCUGAAAUAAACUUCCUGGCACAGAAGAAAGGACAAAGUUUCCCUUAUCCUUCCAAGUUUCACAUAUGGAUGACCUGGCUAGACAAAAGAAGGCUAAAGCAUGUUUUAUUCAAGUGCUUCAGGAGGUGGGUACUUUUGCUACAUACCAUUAACUCUUAAUAUUUGAGAUGGCAUAUGCUCAUUUUAAUCAUA
rnacentral:lncRNA from 1 species